CGUCUGGUCGGAAACCAGACCUACCAAAGGAG
rnacentral:ncRNA from 1 species